GUGGGGAAUAUUGGACAAUGGGCGAAAGCCUGAUCCAGCCAUGCCGCGUGUGUGAAGAAGGUCUUCGGAUUGUAAAGCACUUUAAGUUGGGAGGAAGGGUAGUAACCUAAUACGUUGCUACUUUGACGUUACCGACAGAAUAAGCACCGGCUAACUUCGUGCCAGCAGCCGCGGUAAUACGAAGGGUGCAAGCGUUAAUCGGAAUUACUGGGCGUAACGCGCGCGUAGGUGGUUCAGUAAGUUGGAAGUGAAAUCCCCGGGCUCAACCUGGGAACUGCUUUCAAAACUGCUGAGCUAGAGUACGGUAGAGGGUGGUGGAAUUUCCUGUGUAGCGGUGAAAUGCGUAGAUAUAGGAAGGAACACCAGUGGCGAAGGCGACCACCUGGACUGAUACUGACACUGAGGUGCGAAAGCGUGGGGAGCAAACAGGAUUAGAUACCCUAGUAGUCC
rnacentral:rRNA from 1 species